CAAAUACAUGCAGGCAUUCAUGAGCGGAGCUGAUUUGAUUACAGCCAUUACUGGGGAAACAGCUAGUUCUACUGCUCUCAAAGCGCCUCCUACUGGCAGA